rnacentral:rRNA from 1 species
AUACGGAGGGUGCUAACGUUGUUCGGAAUUACUGGGCGUAAAGCGCGUGUAGGCGGCUUAGCAAGUCAGAUGUGAAAGCCCUCGGCUCAACCGAGGAAGUGCAUUUGAAACUGCUAGGAUAGAGUACGGGAGAGGGUUGUAGAAUUCCAGGUGUAGAGGUGAAAUUCGUAGAUAUCUGGAGGAAUACCGGUGGCGAAGGCGGCAACCUGGACCGAUACUGACGCUGAGACGCGAAAGCGUGGGGAGCAAACAGGAUUAGAUACCCCAGUAGUCC